rnacentral:rRNA from 1 species
GGMMUGCCUUACACAUGCAAGUCGAACGGCAGCACGGGUGCUUGCACCUGGUGGCGAGUGGCGAACGGGUGAGUAAUACAUCGGAACAUGUCCUGUAGUGGGGGAUAGCCCGGCGAAAGCCGGAUUAAUACCGCAUACGAUCUACGGAUGAAAGCGGGGGACCUUCGGGCCUCGCGCUAUAGGGUUGGCCGAUGGCUGAUUAGCUAGUUGGUGGGGUAAAGGCCUACCAAGGCGACGAUCAGUAGCUGGUCUGAGAGGACGACCAGCCACACUGGGACUGAGACACGGCCCAGACUCCUACGGGAGGCAGCAGUGGGGAAUUUUGGACAAUGGGCGAAAGCCUGAUCCAGCAAUGCCGCGUGUGUGAAGAAGGCCUUCGGGUUGUAAAGCACUUUUGUCCGGAAAGAAAUCCUUGGCCCUAAUACGGUCGGGGGAUGACGGUACCGGAAGAAUAAGCACCGGCUAACUACGUGCCAGCAGCCGCGNGUAAUACA